AGAUCUUUAUCUUUUAAUUUCUAUCCAUCUCACCUCUUCAGGGCUGACUCCGACUGAAGUUGCCCUUCUAGCAAAGAGCGCUUAUCCUUUUUAGAUUUAAAAGCAAUUUUGUUUAGAAUGGUGAUAAAUCUGUUCCUAGCCCAAAGCACACUCUUUUACCUCUUCAAUUCCACAUGCUGACAAAUCUUUUCCACAACGUCGCAUUAUUUUCUAUUUAGACAUCUUCGACAAAGCAAAA
rnacentral:lncRNA from 1 species